rnacentral:lncRNA from 1 species
GUGGUAUUCUGUAUACAGAAGGUAUCAAGACACCUGAAUGUGUGGUAUUCUGUAUACAGAAGGUAUCAAGACACCUGAAUGUGUGGUAUUCUGUAUACAGAAGGUAUCAAGACACCUGAAUGUGUGGUAUUCUGUAUACAGAAGGUAUCAAGACACCUGAAUGUGUGGUAUUCUGUAUACAGAAGGUAUCAAGACACCUGAAUGUGUGGUAUUCUGUAUACAGAAGGUAUCAAGACACCUGAAUGUGUGGUAUUCUGUAUACAGAAGGUAUCAAGACACCUGAAUGUGUGGUAUUCUGUAUACAGAAGGUAUCAAGACACCUGAAUGUGUGGUAUUGUUCUGUAUACAGAAGGUAUCAAGGCACCUGAAUGUGUGGUAUUCUGUAUACAAAAGGUAUCAAGACACCUGAAUAUGUGGUAUUGUUCUGUAUACAGUGGGU